rnacentral:rRNA from 1 species
CUAGUACUGCGAGUGAAGCGGGAAAAGCUCAAAUUUAAAAUCUGNCAGCAUUUAGCUGUCCGAAUUGUGACCUCGAGAAGUGAUGCCCGCGCUGGACCAUGCACAAGUCUCCUGGGAUGGAGCNUCGCAGAGGGUGAGAAUCCCGUCCGUGGCAUGGAUCGCCAGCGCAGUGUGGUUCGCUCUCAAAGAGUUGAGUUGUUUGGGAAUGCAGCUCGAAAUGGGUGGUAAAUUCCAUCUAAAGCUAAAUACGGGCGAGAGACCGAUAGCGAACAAGUACCGUGAGGGAAAGAUGAAAAGAACUUUGGAAAGAGAGUUAAACAGUACGUGAAAUUGUUGAAAGGGAAACGCUUGAAGUCAGUCGCGUUGUUCNGGGAUCAGUCUGGGUGAAUUUACCNGGAUGCAUUUCCUGUUGCAACGGGUCAUCAUGAGUUUUGACCACUGGAGAAAGGCAUGGGGAAUGUGACACCCUCCGGGGUGUGUUAUAGCUCCGGGUCGCAUGCAGUGGUNGGGACUGAGGGUCGCAGCGCGCCGCAAGGGCAGGGUUUCGNCGACUUUCGCGCUUUGGAUGAUGGCAAAAUGGCUUCAAGCGACCCGUCUUGAAACACGGACCAAGGAGUCCAACAUGCAUGCGAGUGUUUGGGUGGAAAACCCGUGCGCGCAAUGAAAGUGAAAGUUGAGAACCCCGA